AUGCCUCAACUUGAUAAAUUAACUUAUUUCUCACAAUUCUUCUGGUUAUGUCUUCUCCUCUUUACUUUUUAUAUUCUCUUAUUUAAUAAUAAUAAUGGAAUACUUGGAAUUAGUAGAAUUCUCAAACUACGGAACCAACUGCUUUCGCACCGGGGGGGCGAGAUCCAGAGCAAGGACCCUAAGAAUCUGGAAGAUAUCUCGAGAAAAGGUUUUAGCACCGGUCUCUCAUAUAUGUACUCAAGUUUAUCCGAAGUAUCCCAAUGGUGUAAGACCGUCGACUAUUUGGGAAAAAGGGGGAAAAUCACUCUGAUCUCUGAUUUCGGAGAAAUAAGUGGCUCACGAGGAAUGGAGAGACAGAUUCUCUAUUUGAUCUCGAAGUCCUCAUAUAACACUUCUUCCAGUCGGAUCACUUGUUGGAAAAACAUAAUGCUCACACAUGUUCCACACGGGCAAGGAAGCAUAAUAUCAUGA
rnacentral:rRNA from 1 species